CCUACGGGGGGCUGCCGACGGGAAUAUUGCGCAAUGGGCGAAAGCCUGACGCAGCGACGCCGCGUGAGGGAUGAAGGUCUUCGGAUCGUAAACCUCUGUCAGCAGGGAAGAACGGUCACGGGGCUAAUCAGCAGUGAAUUGACGGUACCUGCAAAGGAAGCACCGGCUAACUGCGUGCCAGCAGCCGCGGUAAGACGGAGGGUGCGAGCGUUACUCGGAAUUACUGGGCGUAAAGCGCUCGUAGGCGGUAUGUCAAGUCAAGGGUGAAAUCCCCGCGCUCAACGUGGGAACUGCCUUUGAAACUUGCAAACUGGUGUGUGUGAGCGGAUAGUGGACUUCCAGGUGUAGGC
rnacentral:rRNA from 1 species